UUGAUGAUGAUGAAGCAAUAAUAUUACAUAUAAUCCAACACUUGAUCUGAGAUAUUCAUUAUCGAGUGAUGUUCAAACCAUUGCUUCUGAAUCUGC
rfam:Gossypium hirsutum cultivar TM-1 chromosome 21, whole genome shotgun sequence